ensembl:lncRNA
AGAGCGGACGGGGUGACGGCGAAGGUGAUGGAGGGUUUGCAGCGGGUGAGGCUUGAGGGCAACCUGGCGAACACAUCGAGGUAUGGGUGAUGUCGGGUCAUGGAAGGCAGAGGAAGUCAGGUGAUCUCGCCUCCCCAACGGCCUCGUAGCACUGCUAGGGAACUCUGUGCGGUUAUUUGAGUCCAUGGAGAGUCAGGGCCGCCGCCGUGACCCCCAGGCGCGGUUUCUGGGCACAGCCAGUUGGUCAAUUUGCUUUUGGUACCUGGUCAGCCCUUGCCAGGCCCUGGGUUCACUUGGGUUCAACUAAAUGAACACCAGAAAUUCAAGGAGCAGGUGAAAUUCAGAAGCUUGGAUGCAUCCGCGCGAAUCAACAGACGGUGCUGGGAAGGAGCAACCUGAAACUAAAGGAUUUUUCUGGCGGUGUAGUCUCAGAAAUCAUAUCUCCGCCCUCCACAAUGAUUCCUUUCCAAGCCCGCUGGUACUCAGUUGCCCCCGGGUCUCAGACUUCUACGUGGAUCAUAAAAGCUCACUGAGGAAAUGGUAAUUCUCCAGUUGUUCCCUGAGAUGUCGAAUGUACAGCUGCAGUCCAUGGAGAGCCAAUUCAAGUAUGAAUCUCAAGAACACCACUUUCUUUUAGGUGAGAAGCAGAGUAUGUCUUUAUUAGUGGCUUGGGGUGGGGGUCACUGUUACUUUGGUAUGUUUGUGUCUUCAAGUGCUAUUGGUAUUUCUCAUUGCCUGCCCCCCACUGUAUUAGAUAGUAGCAUCUCUUUAGUGCUCCAAGCCCAUGGCUUUAUUGUCCAUUCUGGCAAUCAGAUUCUCUUGGGGUUCCUUCCUCUCCUUAAGUCCCUGGUGUCAUCCAUUUUCCCUAUUACAAUCACCUUAUCAUCAAUCUGUCAGUGUUUGGAGUUUCCCUUUCAAAAUCUUUUCAAGUCAUCAGUCUUUCUCAUGUACUUUGGGGGCAUAGUUAAAAGUCUGACACCUGGAUUCAGAAACUAGCUUUGUCAUUUACUAGCUUCAGUAAGUUACCUACUUUUUUUGUUUUUUGUUUUUUUUAAUAAUUCUAUUUCCUUGCCUUAUAAAGGUAUAACUCCUACCUUGGAAGUUAUCGUGAGGAUUAUGUCUAUCUGUUACUCCGUAAUGAAGACCCCAAAACUUAGUGACCUAAAACAUCAGACAUUUUUAAAGACUUUAUUGUCUUAUGGUUCUGUAGGUCAUCACUUGGGCUGGGUUCAGCUGGCAGUUUUUUUCUGGGAUCCCUCAUGGUUAACUAAGGCCAGAGUCUAAGUUGGUAUCAAUCAUAUCUGUCUGACUGUUGGUGCUGGCCAUGGCUUGGGUCAUGUAUUUCCAGCAGGCAUACCUAGUCUUUUUCACAGGGCAGCUAGUUUUUAAAAUCAGAGAGAGGAGUUACUGUUGUGGCUCAGUGGAAACAAAUCUGACUAGUACUAGUAUCCAUGAGGAUGCAGUUUCAAUCCCUGGUCUUGCUCAGCAGGUUAAGGAUCCAGCGUAGCUAUGAGCUGUGGUGUAGGUCGAAUACACGACUCAGAUCUGGCAUUGCUGGCAUUGCUGUAGCUGUGGCAUAGGCCAGUGACUACAACUCCUAACUCCGAUUUAGCCCCUAGCCUGGGCACCUCCAUAUGCCAUGGGUGUGGCCCCCCCAAAAAAUAAUAAUAAAUAACAAAAAAAAUAAAAUAAUAAAAUAAAAUCAGAGAGAGUGCAAGCCCUGAUGCAUAAGCACUUUCUAACCUAUGUUUACGUUACAUUUGUUACUAUCUUAUUGGCCAAAGCAAGUCACAUGACCAUUCCAGAGUCAUUAUGGGAAACAACUACCCAAGGAUAUAGAUAUUGGGAGAUAGGAGCCUUUACUACUGUAGCAGACACCAUGAACACUACAUGAGAUCCCAUGUGUAAGGCUCUGCGCAUAUACCUGGCUGGUAGUAGAUUCUUUAUGAUUGGUAGUCACUGUUAUUUUCAGUAAGAUAAUUUUGAUCCUGACUUUGUUCAGAAGUUCUGUAGGCUCUCAUUUCCUCAUAUUUUGCUGCUUCUUGAUUUUGGUCCUCCUAUUAUUGCUGUUUUACCUAUGAAAUUCACCUUCUAUUGUCCUUUUCUUUUACUCUAAAUCUUUUGCCUCUCUUUAGUUUUGGAGUAUCUUUAUUUUACUUAGCUUCUCCUGUAUUUAGAAUUUGUCUUUCCUUAAAUGCUGAGACCAGCUCAGCCAGCCGGGGUGGAGGGGGUGAAGGACGGGUGCUGCAGAGCUUAAGAAAUGUUAAACUGCGACAAAGAAAGACACAUGAACAGAAUAAAGUUUAAAGAUGGGACCCGGGGACUCAAGACCUCAUGGAUUAAGAGCCUUGAAUAUCAAUGCCUCAUCAUCUUGAUUGUGCUCUCAGGAAUGUAAAAAACGUUAGAAAGCAGAAACCCCAAGGCUCUGCCUCCAGUCACAUUGUAUUUUAAUUCUUACCUUUACUCUUACAUUCUGUAUGUAAAGGGCAAUGAUAAGGUCAGCUCUCUAUGCAUAGCAUCUUGAGGAACAGUCAGUGCUUGCUGGAGCAGUUUUCUGACUUGAGCUGACCAGGUUUUCCAAGGUCGACACCUUGUCCUCUCUGUUGAUGCAUGACUUGCUGAGCCAGUUCCCUCUAGCCCCUUACUUAUAGUUACUUAUGGCUAAGUUCCACAUCAGCAUGAAUAAGCACUUUUCCAACUUGUAGUUUCCUUAGGGCUUAGAAAAUACAUCCUGAAGAUUUCUCCCCACACUUGAGAAUCUAUUCUAAGGCAUCUAGCUCUUGUCUUUCUUGAGAAUCACUGCAGAAUUGCACCCCCUCCUUUUUGUUUUACAUAAAUUGACAUACUAUAUGUGUUUGUGUCCCUUAGAGUGUGUACAAAAUUACAUUUUUAUGAUAAUAUAAUUAUACUAAAGUACAUACAUAAAAUAUAGAAAGGCACAGAGCAAAAUUUAAAUUAACUAUUCAACAGAUAUUUAAUGUUGAUAACUGUUUAUCUUAAAUGUUACUGUUUAUUUGUGUUUUGGUGGCACCCAUGGCAGGUGGAAGUUCCUGGGCCAGGGAUUGAACCUGUACCCACAGCUGCAGCAAUGUUGGAUCCUUAACCCCUGCACCACAGGGGAAUUUUCCAAAUGUUAUUGUUGAUAAAUGUUUAGUUAAUAAGAUCAUAGCUUGUUAUUAUUAACCAUAUAAUAUUAUCAUUGGUUAUUGAGGGUUUACUUUGUGCCAGACACUAAGUUCUGAGGAUAUAGCAGUGAACUAGUCAGAGAAGCCUUUGUUCUCAAGGAAUUUAUAUUUUAGUAGGGGAAAUAGGAAAUAAAUAAAUAUACAGAAUAGUAUCAGAUAGUGGUAAUGGGUAUGGAGAAAAUAAAUCAGGGUGUAUCUUAGGAUUCUGGCAGGAAACAGAUGGCUCAAUCAAAUUGGGUAAUCCAAAGUUUCAUGAAGAAGAUGGGCAGGGUUACAGAAAUUAACACGAAAUGGAGAACAGCCUACACCGAGCCUAAGCUGACAGUCAUUACUGUCUUCCAUCACUCAUUCCAUAUUGCCCUUACCUUCUGCCAGAAUCUAAGUAGCACAGAGCUCUUUAUCUAGUCAAGUAACACAAACCUCCUUUCUUGGAUGAUCUGAGUCCUUGGUGAUGUUGUCUCUUUCAGGUUACUUAGGUGUACCAUUAACUGGGCUUGUUAGAAAUGAAAGAAUUAAGAGGCAUAAGCAGGGGUCCAUAUUGUUGAGCUCAUCCAUCCCUGCUGCCAUGACCACUUUGUACAUGAGUCCAUUGGGAAAAUAUUGGUAAAAAGCUGAUUGACAUUCAUAAUAUGAAUUGCCGUGUCCAUCUGAUUGAGAGGCUUCUCCAUGGUGAAUGCCCUUUGGUGAGGAUUCACUUGGAACACAAAUAUAUUCUUUUUUUUUUCUUGUUAUUUAAUUUUUUUCCGCCGUACAGCAUAUUUUCUUACAUGUAUACAUUUAUUUCCCCCGCCCUUUGUUCUUUUGCAAUAUAAGUAUCAAGACAUAGUUCUCAGUGCUAUCAAAUAUAUUCUUUAUUUGCACAUUCUAGGAGGUUCAUCCUUAUACUUUUCCUCCAGAAUCCUUACUUUUCAUCUUCCAAUCUUGUUCUUUCCAGGUACCUAACUAUUCAGAUAACCCAUUAGUCAUUACCCAUGAAUUGGUAUAUACACGUAUCUUAGGCUGUGUUGCCUUCCUGGGAGGCAACCAGGUGUAUACCUGAAAUUCUGCCCAUUGGGAGGAUUUGCCUCUAUCAGUGUGUUUGAAGCCACCUCUGAGUAGGGGUAUAAGUGGAACUUAUUUACUUUCAGCUGGUGCUCACAUACCAGGCAGGCCCAUCUAUCAGCCAGUUGUAUACUUUUUCCUCCUAUGUUAACUGGGAAUAGGGAAUUCCCAUGGGGCCAUGAAUAUAGGUUGAAGAGAGGUAGUGGAGCAAUAGGAACAAGUACUAUGGGAAUCUGAGUCACUAGCACAUGUAAUUUACUUGUCUUUGCUUUUUUAAUGGAAUAUUGGUUUGUAUGUUCAGUUUUACGAGUUGAUGGACCAAAUAACAUAGUACACAGCAGUCAGUUUGUAAGUUAUUUGGUGCCCUGUGGUCAAGCAUCAAGUCUCUAUUAGUGUCUAAGAGCAAGCCAGGAUAUGUUUUUUACUUAGAAAAUUAUUGCUGACAGAAGGGAGUAUGACCUGGAAAUUCCCUUUGGGGUUCAGUGGUUAAUGAACCCAACUAGAAUCCAUGAGGAUGUGGGUUCAAUCCCUGGCCUCACUCAGGAUCUGGCAUUGCUAUGAGCUGUGGCGUAGGUCACAGACAUGGCUUGGAUCCCACAUUGCUAUGGUUGUGGCAUAGACUGGCAGCUGUAGCUUUGAUUCGACCCCUAGCCUGGGAACUUCCAUGUGCUGUGGGUGCAGUGCUAAAAAAAAAAAAAAAA